rnacentral:rRNA from 1 species
UACGGAGGGUGCAAGCGUUAAUCGGAAUUACUGGGCGUAAAGCGCACGCAGGUGGCUGAGUCAGUCGAUUGUGAAAGCCCUGGGCUUAACCUGGGAAUUGCAGUCGAUACUACUCAGCUAGAGUAUGGGAGAGGGUAGUGGAAUUCCCGGUGUAGCGGUGAAAUGCGUAGAUAUCGGGAGGAACAUCAGUGGCGAAGGCGGCUACCUGGCCCAAUACUGACACUCAGGUGCGACAGCGUGGGGGAGCAAACAGG